UACGUAGGGUGCAAGCGUUGUCCGGAAUUAUUGGGCGUAAAGAGCUCGUAGGCGGUCUGUCGCGUCGGCUGUGAAAACCUGAGGCUCAACCUCGGGCCUGCAGUCGAUACGGGCAGACUAGAGUUCGGUAGGGGAGACUGGAAUUCCUGGUGUAGCGGUGAAAUGCGCAGAUAUCAGGAGGAACACCGGUGGCGAAGGCGGGUCUCUGGGCCGAAACUGACGCUGAGGAGCGAAAGCGUGGGGAGCGAAAGGG
rnacentral:rRNA from 1 species